GCUAAACGCGAAGAACCUUACCUGGGUUUGACAUGCACAGGACGCACCUAGAGAUAGGUGUUCCCUUGUGGCCUGUGUGCAGGUGGUGCAUGGCUGUCGUCAGCUCGUGUCGUGAGAUGUUGGGUUAAGUCCCGCAACGAGCGCAACCCUUGUCCUAUGUUGCCAGCGGGUGAUGCCGGGGACUCGUAGGAGACUGCCGGGGUCAACUCGGAGGAAGGUGGGGAUGACGUCAAGUCAUCAUGCCCCUUAUGUCCAGGGCUUCACACAUGCUACAAUGGCCGGUACAAAGGGCUGCGAUGCCGUGAGGUGGAGCGAAUCCUUGGUAAAGCCGGUCUCAGUUCGGAUCGGGGUCUGCAACUCGACCCCGUGAACGUCGGAGUCGCUAGUAAUCGCAGAUCAGCAACGCUGCGGUGAAUACGUUCCCGGGUCUUGUACACACCG
rnacentral:rRNA from 1 species